CGAAGCCGCAGCUGCCCCAUCCUUUCAGCAUCAACGAAGCAAUUCCAUCAUCAUCUCUCCUCCACUCACUCUCUUUCUUAGCCGAAGAAGCCCACAAACCGAAUCCCCAUCCUUUUUUGGCCCCACGCGUCUGAGCUUCCUCCCCGUUUGGUCAACUUGACUGGAGCUGUGCCGCCCCACCAUCUUCAAUUUCUGCUCCACCUGUUCUUGUAGUCACCAGUUCUUCAUCCCAUCGAAGCCACACCCUCCAUCAUUUGUUUUAUUUCCCAGUCAAACCAGCAGAACCGAUUUUGCUUUGCCUGCCGUUUGUUGACCCGUUGCUCGCAAAUCCCCCACCGAAGCUUCUCCGUGCACCUCGCUGCAGCUCCAUCGAUCCCAUCUCCACGAAGUCUUCAUCCACGCGGCUCCGCGCGUCCAGCAGCAAAUCCGUGGUCACGUCUUCAGUCCAGCGAGUCAACCGAAGAAAUCCAGUCCGCUUGCUGCCACUUGACCGCGCCUGCCCCUAGUUCGGUCCCCCGGACGUCUUCAAUCGGUGCCAUUUGGUUGACCCCGCAAGCCAGCGAAGCCCACUCGAGCUUCAGCCAUCCACGUGCAUAGUUUAAGCGGCCACCGAAGACCAUCGAGCUCUCAUCUCCACGCGUGGUCUUCUCCACGCUCGAGCGACGCCAGCAGCUCCUGCACGUCUUCUUGCUCGGCCCAUCUUCGCUCCUUGGUGUCUUGGCCCAACAGCAGCUUUUGCUGCUUCUUCUCAGCUCAGCAGCCCAGCCCGUGAGCAAGAUCAGUCGUGAAUUUCCAGUCCAUAGUUUGGCCCAACAGUUGGGCCCAUGUCUUCGGCCCAAUUCCAUUGCAAGCUUGAGGCCCACUUGAAUUCAGGCCCUGCAGAAGCCCAUAAAUUUUGUCGCAAGUUCAGCCCGCCACUUGAAGCUUGGCCCAGUUCAGUUUGUUUCAAGCCCAGUCCAACAGAUUCUUUUAGUGUUCGGCCCAAGCCUAGAAUUUCUGCGGGCUUGCAAAGUUUCUUGGCCCGGCCCGAGUGUCUAUCGUCACUACCGAAAUUUUGGGAUUUAGCUAUCGUCGCGUCGCCGUCGCAGUGUUCCGAUCUUCGCUUUGCCAAGAUGGCCGGUGACCGCAAUUUCUUGUUGAUUGUCGUGGAGUAGUCCGUUGAUUUAUUUGAGCUUUAAUUCAUGUCGAAUUGAUUUAAUGGUGCAUUUUGAAGUUAUGUUCUUAAAUAAUUCAAUUUUGGCUAUGUGAUUGAGGAUUGGUCGGGUAUCGGUUAUCAGUAUCGAAAGUGAGUUGGUAAAUCACCUAGAGAAUGUACAUGGCCCAAUGAACUGGAGUGUCACCGGGGAAGGACACGUGGCUCGGUGAUUGGAUAUGUCACCUUGGCGAAAAUGUAACCUUAGAGAAUGCACAUGGCUCGAAGACUCGGUAUGUUCUCCUAGAGAAUGCACGUGGCUCGGUGACAGAGUAUGGCAUCGUAAAAUGGGCACGUGGGCUCAGUGAAUUGAUGCAUCACUUUGGUGAGUUAGCACCUAAGAGAAGGCACGUGGGCUAGGGCAUCGUAAAAAGGGCACGUGGCUCGGUGAAUCGAUGCAUCACCUUGGCAAAAAGGGUCGCCUAAGAGAAUGCACGUGGGCCUAGUGAGUAAGUAUGUCGUCUUGGAAAAGGAGCACGUGAACUCGGGGACUUGGGAUGUCAUCCUGAAGUAUCCAUGUAGGCUCGACGACUGAUUAUUCCAUUGUGGGGAAUGUAUGGUCUGAUUGAUAUGAAAUCGACUAGGUCGAUUGAUCAUUACUUUGAUUUGCUGUUGUGAAUUGAUUGAUUGAAUGGAAAUGACCAUGAGUGGUCUUGUUGGCG